ensembl:lncRNA
GAGAGAGAGAGAGAGAGAGAGAGAGAGAGAGAGAGAGAGAGAGAGAGAGAGAGAGAGAGAGAGAGAGAUGAUGAAGACUGACACUCGCUCACACGCUUCUGUUCAGAGAAAGGUGAUCCGCCGGCCGGCAGCAUGUUGCAUCCGCUCAUGAUCUUCAUGGUCGUCGCCAACAUGUCCAUGAGCAUCAUCUUCUGGACCUUCUUGAUGUCGGAGGUCUUCUUCAAAGAGGCAGAGACGGAGGAAGUGUCUCCGGCGUAGAGUCUGUCAGCAUGUAGAUCUCACACAGCUUCAUAGAGAUUCUCCUCUGCAGCUACAGAGCGCUUUCCCCCACAUUUUAAAGUUUUCUGUCAGCCUUUUUUUCUUUUGUCCUGUUUGUUCUGUAACGGGGCUGUAAAAAGACCGUUUGGGAAUUGUGGAGUGCUUGUUCAGUUACAGACUGGGUCUUUGGCCCUAAAACUGAAGCUGGUGAUUCUGAGUGCGGCCGUGAAGAGGAGAGGGUUCGGAUGGAGGAAGAGCGAGCCGGUCUGCUGCCGGGAUUCAACAUCACCGAGCCCCAUCAUCAUCCCAGGAUCCGGCCUUCAUUACAUCACAUCACUAUGAGUCUACAUACAGUACAGUCUGUGCCAGCGGUCAUUACUCUGGCUUUAAUGUUUUCACUUCAUCUUUAGCAUGUUUUUAUCAGACCAGAUGCUCUUUUAGCUGCUGUAGAGAAGCAAAGCGUAGAUAACAGUCUUUCAGCAUGAAAAGAGGGCGUGGUCAUGUGAUUGUUGUGAUGUCAUCAACGAAAUCGCUGUUCUGUGAUGCCAUUAAAAUUAAUUUUCGGAUAUUUCAUAUUUUGGCACUGUAUAUUUUAUAUAUAUACUGUAUAUAUAUAUAAAACAGAAGGCAUAAAUGCUCACUGCUGACACUGCAUUCAAACAGGGUUGUGUGUUCCAAACAUAUCGUAAGAAACCAUUGAUUCUUUUGGGAAACGCAGCACAGAACAAUUCUUAUCAGAGGACAGAAAAACAUAAUAUGUUUGAGUUAUUUCCCAAUAAACAAACUGAAGUUGUAGCCUAUAGUUUGUGCAGUUACAUUUAUUUAAAUUGAACGUUAAAGUUCAUAUUGAUCAUGUUCUAUUCUAUAACUAAUGUUUAUUAUAAAUCAUACACUGUCAGAAUAUUAUGGGUGCAACUGGCAGUCAGUCCCUUAUGAAAAUGAACCAUGGUUUUACUAUAUAGUGACCAUAGUAUUUGUAGAUUUCCACGGUUACCACUACAGUAAACAUAUUUUAACCAUGUGUAAACAAAAAAGUAAUCUAAUAAGCUGCAAUUGAGGUGUACUGAAUGUUAAAUGCCUUUUUAAAUAUAAUGUUAAAUGGGUAUCAUUACCCAUUUUACUCUUAAUAAUUUACUAAUUUUAAUUACUUAAGAGUUAAGUUUAUCGGUAUCCUAUCGAAAACAAAAUAAAUGUUAUCGCCCAUCCCUACUGUGAAACAAUGGCCCAGAACAGUGCUGCCACCUUGUGCAACAACUGAGUAGUGCAAAACAAAUUCAAUGCGCAUGUGCGGCCUGCACUGACAGUGCACACAUACUAUUCUGAUCACGAGCACUGUACGCUCACCCUCGCGUACGUGUGAAAAGUGAAGUAUACUUUGGACUUGAGUCUACAUGCAGUCUGUGUCAACUGUGACUAUUCUGUCUUUUAAUGUUUUCACUUCAUCUUUAACAUGUUUUUAUCAGACCAGAUGCUCUUUUAGCUGCUGUAGAGAAGCAAAGCGUAGAUAACAGUCAUUCAGCAUGAAAAGAGGGCGUGGUCAUGUGAUUGUUGUGAUGUCAUCAACGAAAUCGCUGUGUUCUGUGAUGCCAUUAAAAUGAAUUCUGGGAUAUUUCAUAUUUUGGCACUGUAUAUAUAAAUAAACAAGAAGGCAUAAAUGAUGCAAAUGGAAAAUAGAAUUAAAGCCUCUCCUCAUUAUGGAACCAACAGGUUGUUGUGUCUGAUUCAUCUUCAUGAGCUAUGAGAUUAUUCUAAAACCUGUCUGGGUCAAUAGGGACAGAAACAUGUGAGAUGUUCAGCUCUAAAACACCGCAGCAGAAUCUCAUGAAGCCCGUCGAAAGCUCAAAAUCAGAAGAAAGAAAUGCAUCAUGCUAAACUAAUGCUGACCUAGUUUCAUUAUUAACUAUUUUUAUUGUGUACUGGUUUAAUUGAGCUGCUGUUAAGAGAUUUACACCAUUUUAUUAGCUUUUACAAUGCUAGAACACCAUUCAUGAGGUUUUAUCUUUUAUUAAUAAAGUCGAAUACUGUGUACCUGUUUUUUCACUUAGUUCAUAAUUAACCAUAACCAUAACCAGUCUGUAAGCCGUGUCAAAGCUGGAUAAUAUGUGCUGAUAAAGCCUGUGACCUUGAGUGUCUCAGUCAAUCGCAGCGGCACCCAUGCGUACAUCAGCACCUCCAUCCUUUAUUCUUCAAUCACUGCUGGAGCUUCGGAGGAAGGCAACGAUGUGAACAUCCAACACUAUGAUUCCUCCGGACGGAUGACAUCUGACCUUCAUCACGGCCUGUGAACAAACUCUCAUCUGGACACAUGUAUUGAGCUACAAGCUUACCACGUGUUUAUAUUGUGCUUGUGUGUUAAAGGUGUUUAUUUGCAAAGAAUAACAUUUACAGGUCCUGAUAAAUGUCUAUAAUUGACAUAAUAAAAGUUCAUUAUAGAGUGAACUCAUUGAAAUACUGUGUGUCAUAUUGAAAUAUUAUGAGAAAUCAAACAAUCUGUGCUGUGAUCAGCUCAUUGAUCACUGAAGAGCAGGCUUAGGUUAUGGUCAGUUGUUCUUGUAUUGGUGUUAACUGUGAGGAUGUGUUGAAGUUAUGGAUAAGGGCAUGACAGCGGGGCGCGUGAGCCUCCUCUGCUGCCCCCCUCUGGUUAGGAGGAGGUUUUCUUCAAGAAUUACAUCCCACCUGCUGGAGAUGCCAUCCAUCUGCCCAUUCACGUCUUCAAAAUCAUCCUCACCUCCAUCAUCAUAGUGAUGACACUCUACGCCAUCAUCGGCCACCUCAUCAAAGACCUGAUACACGACUUAGCCGCUCCACCCCCUUAGCAUACGAGGGAAGGAUGCAAGAAAAGGAAAUGAAGGCGGAGGAAUCAAAGGAUGAACAUUGGAAUAUUCUUAACAACUCAAGUGUCACUUCAAAACAUCAUCAUCUGCGCUAAAGGGAUCUGCCCUUAUGUUUUUUAAGUUCAAUUUUUAAGGCAUUCAUAAUAAAUAUAAAUAAAGCAAGA